AACGCAACUUGCGCUCCUUGGUAUUCCAUGGAGCAUGCCUGUUUGAGUGUCACGUAAACCCUCACCCAAGUGAUGUUACAGUCGUCUUGUGGUGGAUUUGGAUUGUGCCGUAAUUGGCUCAUCCUGAAAUGCAUUAGCUUGCGCUUUUUACAGUGCUCGGCAUGGUGUGAUAAUUAUCUGCGCCGUCGCCUUAGGCCUGUUCUAUAUGUGUAGCUUCUAAUCGUCCCUUGUGGACAACUUACUUAACACUUUGGCCUCAAAUCAGGUAGGAUUACCCGCUGAACUUAA
rnacentral:misc_RNA from 1 species